CCGAUACCUGGCGUUGAGACAAUGUGGAAGUUCUUCAACCCUUUCCUCUCAUUCACGACCCUGCUCCACUUCUCCGCAAUGAACUGAUCCAUGAAAAGGUAGUUUGGAUGGACCCAGAGCUUGGACAGGUUGUAAUGGCCCAAGAACCCAGACGGGAUGUGGAGGCAGCGGUCCUGGAGCCUGGCAUGCUUUACCUCCCGGCCGUAGGCAGCGAGAAGAGGAUCUGACACACAGAACUUGUUAGAGAUGAUUCGUCGCGCCUAAACCAUACCGAGCUCUUCGCCCAUCUCGCUGUCGCCCAAAACCUAGAAAGCAGAGCGGAAAAUUGAUAUAAAGAAUAGAAUGCCCUCCUAGGGCAAGGGAUAAAAGGUAUAUUCUUUCUUUAAGAAUAUUCUUUGUUUUGUGCUCUUUUAAUGGGGUGUUUAUCUUAAUCUAUUUUUGUAAAACUAAUAUUUUUUAAUCACGAGCUUAUUUAUAUACUGUGGCUGGUCUGAUGUCGCUUGCUCUGCCUCCCCGGAUGCAUCGCCAUGGAUCUGGCAAGAUCCCAGCAGUAGCAUCACUCGUGAUCGCGGGCUCAAUCGGCAUAUCGCGCACCAGCUCCUCGCGCGGCUGAAUAGAUCUCCGUAGUAGAGCAGCGCUGGAUCGCUGCCGUGAUAGUUCGCCAUGCCCACGAAGUAUCCUCCAAGAGCCCGGCGUGGCGGCACGCCGAGAGGAUGUUCACGAGAUGCACCGCCUGGAAGAGGUCUCUUGCGCGGAUCCAAUCCCCGUGCUGCGUAAAGGAGAUGACGAUCGAGUUCCAGGCGAUAGUGUCGCGAUGGGGGAGAUCCAAGAACACGGCAUGGUGCGAGUAGCGAAUUCGUUACCUGGAUACGAUCGUGGACGCCGCUGGCGAUCGCCCUGGCGUGGAGGAUCCGGCCAUCGGCGAGGCGCGAGCUGGAUUCCAUCGUGCCCGGUCUGGGCAGUGCUGUGAGGAUGCUGCCCCUGGAGAUCACGUUCCGGUGGAUCAUCCUGUGGAAGAUCUCCAGCGCUCGCUCGAUCCGGCCGCUCUUGGCGUGCAGGCCGCAAGACGCGCCUCGAGGUUGCGUGGGCAAUGCGAGGGAUCGCUGGCGAGCGCGUCCAUGAUCGUCAUCAUCGAGGCGGCACUGCUGAAACUCUUCCUUUUUGUUCUUAAGCAUGGAUGCAAGGCUCUUUUCUCGAUCCCAGAGAAUUGCAAGCAGCUAUUGCCGCCGGGAAAGCUCCGACUUUGAUUGCUUUCUAUGCGGAUCAUCACGUCGUCCCCGGACUCUCCGAGCAAUAAAAAGGCCAUGGUGCUCCUUCAGGAGCUCUGUCUUGUUACCUUUCACUUGAGCGAGUUUUUGGUUUUGAUUUUCGCUUAUGUGCAAAGAGGUGACUUAAACGAUCAUGAACAGCGAGAAUUAGGCUUUCCAUGCCAAUGGAGCUGGAAAAGUGGUGAGCAAAUUUCGGAGUAGCAAAUCUUCUUCUAAAAUCAUCCUUGAGAACUUGUUGCUCGCUCUCGCUGCUCGUCCUUGUAUCCUACUUUUUUAGUUAUAGGAAGAGAAAAUCGUGUUUUUCAGGGUAACGCCAUGCUGUAAUCCUCGGAUUGCGGAAAGCAGCUGCGAACAUUGCUGGCGGAACUCAUCACGCAUUUCCUGAGCACGGCGAGGAAUUUCGUAAGUUGUUUCUCUUCAUUUUUGUUCUCUUUUCUUGCCGUGUGAUGGAGAAAACAUAUGUAAUAAUGAUGGAUUCUCCAGAGGUCUCAAGGCUAGGGUUUUCUCCAGCGGUCUUUGUGUAGAGUGGCUAAGUUUGCUUGUGGAAGCGUGACUCUCGACUCAUACAUAUCCAACUUCUUCUCAGGCAAUUCAUCCCUGAAAAGGAUUUCUAUCACGAAGUUGCGGUAUCACAUCUAUCAUAAGCUUCAUGGGACACAAAAUCUCCUUACUUUUCUUUUCUUCAACCUAUCUUGGAACUUCAAGAACGUUCGGCUUGUCCUCGGUUUUGACACUACAGGGAUACACAACAGGCAUGGAGCAGCUUUCCGAGCAUUAGAGCGGGCUCUGCAAGUUUAGAACACACAUCCACAGUGAUUUGACGAACGGGUAGCUAUCAAGCCUGACGCCUUCGAGCAGCAUGGUGCAAAAGAAACGAAGAGCUUCCAGGCACUGUUGGUUCAACGAGUGCAUCGCGUUCCAGUGCUCCAUCUCGUCAAAGACGGCGCUCACGCUCCCGCGUCUCCCAUACAUGUUGACACGUCUGCAGCGGAGCUCCCGAGCUUGGUCGAGAGUGUCCGGCUGGUCGCAAGCUUCAACAAUUUGCUGCAGCGCAAUCCAGACGGACUCCGAGAGCAUCUAGAGACUAAACCACGCCCAAGGUUUAGCAAAGCAGAUAAUAAAUAUCAAACCACACCGCAAAUUAUUUCUUUGAUGCUGAAAAUCAGGACGAAGUCCAUGGAACCGUCAUCACAUACUGAUGAACCCUGUCCAUCCCGGCAACAUCUCUCUGAUGCAUCGAUCCAUCGUCUUUCUUGAAGCCCUGAUACGUGUAUCCCUGAAAGCUAGGCUCGGGAACGACAUAGAUGAGCCUGUACUGCUUGGGACGCACCAGCUUGAGCUUGUCAUGCAACGCAUCCAACCCCUGAACAAGCUCGUGGAUCUGGGACCAAUAGACCGGAUGCGUGGCUGACGUUGUAACCUGGAGAAUUAUGUCCGGAGUGACCAGCGAAUCGAAAGAUUUCUGGUUUGACGCAUAAGGCUCCACGAAGCAACUGUCAGGUAAGCCUGCAAGGCCCCGUGAUUCCUCCGUCCCCGCACGAUAAGCGUCCACAGGACUCACGUCCUUGGCGUAUACGUUGAAACCAGACCCCACGCAGCGCUUCUUUACGAACACUUUCCACUCGCGCAGCCGCUUCACUGACGUUGGCCUCAGAACGAAGCGUUCAACGCCGUCGUCUUCCUCUUCCAAGGACCGAAGAUCAAACUGGGAACCUCCACUAGCAAGUACCUUGUGGACGUGCUUCUCGUACAUUUUGCCCGCCAAGGUGUUUGUAACCGGAUAUCCUCGGCAUAAGUCGAAAAAGUCACGGAAAGCCUGAAACCCCUGCUCCUCAAACCUUUCAAAAGCAAGCUUCUGAAUGCAGUCCGAGCCAAACACCAAGUGAGCGUGCAGCACCCGGUAACACGCAGGUGUGUUCGAGUCGAACCUGUCAGUAAGACGGUAGUGGAGCAGAAUAUCAGAAACAGUGGGGUCCUUGUCCCGAGUGAGUGUGCAGUGGAGCACUUUUCUCNNNNNNNNNNNNNNNNNNNNNNNNNNNNNNNNNNNNNNNNNNNNNNNNNNNNNNNNNNNNNNNNNNNNNNNNNNNNNNNNNNNNNNNNNNNNNNNNNNNNAUUCCAGCUCAGCUCCUGGUUGCACUGCUGCAGUUCCUCGAGAGACCAGGCUCCCAGGCGGCAUAUAUAGCCAUGGUCCUUGGAGAACUCGUGGUAGCCAGUGCGAUCCGGCGAGACGCACUGGAUGAGAGGCCCCAGGUGACUUAUUCCCCUCGAGCCCCCGUCGACGAUGAGCCAGACGCUCGUCAUGUCCCACCCCCGCGGUCGAGUAUACCAUUUCGAUUGCAGCACCAGAGGAUCGUCCAGCGAGAAGUCGAAGAAAAAGUACUCUGGAUCUUCGGUCCUCCACACUACUUUCUGUCCUUCCUGAGCUCUACUGUGAAAGAAGUAGUGGCCAUAGAACGUCUUGCCAAUACCUGGCGUUGAAACGAUGUGGAAGUUCUUCAACCCUUUCCUCUCAUUCACGACCCUGCUCCACUUCUCCGCAAUGAACUGAUCCAUGAAAAGGUAGUUUGGAUGGACCCAGAGCUUGGACAGGUUGUAACGGCCCAAGAAGCCAGACGGGAUGUGGAGGCAGCGGUCCUGGAGCCUGGCAUGCUUUACCUCCCGGCCGUAGGCAGCGAGAAAAGGAUCUGACACACAGAAACUGUUAGAGAUAAUUCGUGACGCCUAGAUCAUACCGAGCUCCUCGCUCAUCUCGCUGUCGCCCAAAACCCUAGCACGGUGUAGCGGUCUAAGAAAAAAUAAGCUAUAGUAAGUUUCUCAAAGAAUAAAAACAUUCCUCGCAAAAAAAAAAAGAAAAGAAUCCCUCUAGACGAAUUUCUUGCGUGGAAGAAGCCCAGAUCGCACACAUCCUUCUGGCGUGACGCCUAACCCUAGAUUGCGAGAAAACAGGGAUGGCCCGGCUCGUCACGAUAUCUCAAUCAGAGGAUGAUAUCAUGCAAGAAGAUUGGCCUCUGAGGCACAAGAAUGCACUACAAACCACCCCCCCGACCCCCUUGCCACGUCAUCACUGUCCGUUCUCCUCGUGUCAAGCCUCGUGUCAAGUAUUGACUAUGCCACUAUGCCACUUCUUUUCAAAG
rnacentral:lncRNA from 1 species